GAGAGGUUGUGGUAGGUCGUUGGUUGAAGUUUAAGUAGUCAUGUGCAAAGAAGAAACAACAACGAGAAGAAUUCACCUUCACCUCGUGGUGAAGAGCCAACUUGCCCCAGGGAACUGAACGCCUCUAAUCAGCAGCUACGGAGAGAGCAGAGAGCGGACUGUGAGUUACUACCUGCACUGUCUUCGAGCCCAGCCGGAGGCCUGCAGAACCAGCCGGCCCACUUCUCAGCACCAUCCAGGGAAGGGGACUCAGGCAGCUGGACGGGCCACCUGCAGCCUCUGCUCUUCCUGGCAGUGAAGCCUGCUGGUGCCAGAGCCAGCAGGGGAGGCCACACAGCAGUCCUGGACCUCAUUUUUGCUGCCCCCUCCCUGCCCUCCCAGCCAUGAAGAGAAACAGUGGAUACUCAGAAGAUGAAUCACAGACGCUGCUAUGCUCUCCUGCCCCUGUGGAUGAGCAUGCCAGACCCCAGGAAAGAACCUCAGGUUUCCUUUAGCUCCACGUACAAAAACCAAGCUCCGAGCAUCUUACUCAGAAAGACCAAACUGGAAAUGGAGUCAAAAUUUGUUCUUUGCAAGCCACCAUCAUGUUUUUUUAUUUCUCUUCCUCAGGGGUAGUGAAUCCGGGGAUUCACUAAUACUAAGAAGGCCUUCUAUUACUCAGGCACACCUCAAGCCGUUCAGCCCAUCUUUUAAAAGAAAUUUAACCAAGUAGCCCGAGAUGGCUCAGCAGUUAAGAGCCCUGACUGUUCCUGAAGAGGACCCCGGGUUGAUGCCCAGUAUCCACCUGGUAGUUGUUUGCAGUUCCAGGGCUCCAGACAACCAUCCUCUUCUGAACCGGAGCACAUGGCCCACAGACAAACAUGCAUGCAAAACAGCCGCACGCAUAAAACAGUUCAUCUGCGAGUGGGAGCUGUAUGACUAGGGUACUCGGUUUUUCCCCCCGAAGCACAAUGGUUAAAGGGGGAAGGGGCUCACACCACCUUUGACAAAGAGGACGCAUCUGGCCAGAGCAGUUACCCGCUCUUUCCCCAGCGACGGACCUCUGAGAUGCUCCUCAGGCCACCUAGGAAGUUGUACGCGCUUCAGAAGUACAGCUGGGGGAGCAGAGAGUAAAGCCCGCCACCCCGGACCCCGGAGGAGAGCACAAAGUCUAGCCUAGCCUCGCGGUCCCCCGGUCGGCGACCGUCCGGGACUUGGCUCUGCGCGCGCUUCCCUCCGAGAUCAAUAACCCGCACCCUCCGCCCAGGCCGCCAAAUCCCCCCACUUCGACCUUUCCUCCCGCCACCCCCCAAAAGCACGUGCGGAUGCGGGGAAAGCAGUCCCGGGGUCCGGGGGUCCGGUGCCUUGUUCACCCGGAGAGGCCCUCCCGCGCUCGCAGCCCACACCGUCCCGAGCAGCCCGGGCUCCGCAGCCCGCGCGGGUCCCGCCGGCCGCGGCCCCCUCGCGGGCGCCGCCGCCCCCGCCACACUCACAAGGUGU